CCCAGGACAAUGACCGGCUCUGAGGCCAGCCAGCCUUCAGCAGGCAGAGUGCAGGGGACACUCGGCUUCGGCCUCCUGAGCGUACGCCCAGGUCACGCGGCUGUGCCUAGGAUCCUGAAGGCAGCCUCUCCUGACUUUCUCCUGCUCUCCCAUUUGGGGACCCUGAGGCCGAGAGCAGAGAAGCCGUCCGGAAACUUGUUUAAAGGUCCUCCAUGCCUGAUGGCGCGUUCAGGUUCCCAAAUAGGACAAGCGGCACCUCUGGGAGAAUACACGCAUGACCUCUGCCCCACAAGACCACUGGACCUGGUCCUUUCCACUGGCCAGUCGGUAAGUCCUUCCACCAAACCCGGCCUAAAGGGCCUGCUGCUGUGGAAGACACGUGUGGCUCCGCUGCGGUGUGACUCUCUGAGUCACAGUUUAGAAAAUUCCAAAUGAACAGAGCAUGAUCGAGGUUGUUUUGGGGAGUCCCAGUCCUCUCUCCCCCUUUUUAGUUUUCUAAAUUGUAGCUUAAUGGAUAAAUGAGCUCGUUGCACAGUGGCUCGACCUUGGGGGUUGUGAGGAAUUCCUGUUUGUGGUCAAUACAAAACUCUGCAAAAUCGUUGAAAAGAAGAGCUUGCAAAAGCCGGUGCGUCACCAGUUUUAAUCUGCCAAGGACAUCCUAAGACCACAAAGGCAGCUACGCAGUGGGAAACGACACGUUGGGCAUUUCCUUUGCAUGGGCUGUGGCAAAGGCAGAUCUAGAGUAAGUAUCUACAAUCACACGUACGUAGCACUGUUUACCAAACCGAGGAAGGUGAGUUCCGUCCAUCUGCCAUGAUGGAUUCGGCUUUAAUCCAUGGGGAUUUACCCAGAUGGUAAAGGUGGGAAGUGUCUAACACACUGCGGGCAGUGACGUACAAGUUGACGAGCUUGCUGUCUAGUAAUAUUGAUUUUUUAUGUAAACUGGAAGCAUUUUGAUGAUGUAAGAAAUGCAAAGCUUGGGCACGGUCAUACAAAGACAUUUGCUGACAAACAGCAACCAAUUUAUCAAUCUGAUGUUAGAGGCCCUGGGAGAUCAGUGUGGGCCUGUAUGUGGCCUAUAAAACAUGGCUGUUGGCACAUUUGUGGCAUCUUUUGCAAGGUAUGAAACAAAUUGAGUAACUCUUGUGAUGGUGAACACCAAAUAAUUGAAGUUUCGAUAUUUUUGGUAACUAAUUAAUAAAUAUUAAUUAGCUCAUGGCA
ensembl:lncRNA